GACCCCUUCGUCUAGUCAGGCCUAGGACUCCAGAUUUUCAUUCUGGCAACACGGGUUCGAAUCCCGUAGGGGUCACCA
rnacentral:tRNA from 1 species